rnacentral:rRNA from 1 species
AGACGUCUACAUUAGAUACCCGUGUAGUCCCAGCCGUAAACUAUGCGCGUUAGGUGUAUCGGUGACCACGAGUUACCGAGGUGCCGAAGGGAAACCGUGAAACGUGCCGCCUGGGAAGUACGGUCGCAAGGCUGAAACUUAAAGGAAUUGGCGGGGAGCACCACAACGGGUGGAGCCUGCGGUUUAAUUGGACUCAACGCCGGGAAGCUCACCGGAUAAGACAGCGGAAUGAUUGCCGGGCUGAAGACUCUGCAUGACUAGCUG